rnacentral:rRNA from 1 species
AUUGAACGCUGGCGGCAGGCCUAACACAUGCAAGUCGAGCGGGUGAGUGGAGCUUGCUCCAUGAUUCAGCGGCGGACGGGUGAGUAAUGCCUAGGAAUCUGCCUGGUAGUGGGGGACAACGUUUCGAAAGGAACGCUAAUACCGCAUACGUCCUACGGGAGAAAGCAGGGGACCUUCGGGCCUUGCGCUAUCAGAUGAGCCUAGGUCGGAUUAGCUAGUAGGUGAGGUAAUGGCUCACCUAGGCGACGAUCCGUAACUGGUCUGAGAGGAUGAUCAGUCACACUGGAACUGAGACACGGUCCAGACUCCUACGGGAGGCAGCAGUGGGGAAUAUUGGACAAUGGGCGAAAGCCUGAUCCAGCCAUGCCGCGUGUGUGAAGAAGGUCUUCGGAUUGUAAAGCACUUUAAGUUGGGAGGAAGGGCAGUAAGUUAAUACCUUGCUGUUUUGACGUUACCAACAGAAUAAGCCCCGGCUAACUUCGUGCCAGCAGCCGCGGUAA